AGAGUUUGAUCCUGGCUCAGGAUGAACGCUGGCGGCGUGCUUAACACAUGCAAGUCGAACGAACCUUCGGGUUAGUGGCGGACGGGUGAGUAACGCGUGAGAAUCUGCCCUCAGGAGGGGGAUAACGGUUGGAAACGACCGCUAAUACCCCAUAUGCCUAUGGGUGAAAUGAAUUUCGCCUGAGGAUGAGCUCGCGUCUGAUUAGCUAGUUGGUGAGGUAAUGGCUCACCAAGGCUUCGAUCAGUAGCUGGUCUGAGAGGAUGAUCAGCCACACUGGGACUGAGACACGGCCCAGACUCCUACGGGAGGCAGCAGUGGGGAAUUUUCCGCAAUGGGCGAAAGCCUGACGGAGCAACGCCGCGUGAGGGACGAAGGCCUCUGGGCUGUAAACCUCUUUUCUCAAGGAAGAAGAUAUGACGGUACUUGAGGAAUAAGCCACGGCUAAUUCCGUGCCAGCAGCCGCGGUAAUACGGGAGUGGCAAGCGUUAUCCGGAAUUAUUGGGCGUAAAGCGUCCGCAGGCGGCUUUUCAAGUCUGCUGUUAAAACGUGGAGCUUAACUCCAUCAUGGCAGUGGAAACUGAAAGGCUUGAGUAUGGUAGGGGCAGAGGGAAUUCCCGGUGUAGCGGUGAAAUGCGUAGAUAUCGGGAAGAACACCAGUGGCGAAGGCGCUCUGCUGGGCCAUUACUGACGCUCAUGGACGAAAGCCAGGGGAGCGAAAGGGAUUAGAUACCCCUGUAGUCCUGGCCGUAAACGAUGAACACUAGGUGUCGGGGGAAUCGACCCCUUCGGUGUCGUAGCUAACGCGUUAAGUGUUCCGCCUGGGGAGUACGCACGCAAGUGUGAAACUCAAAGGAAUUGACGGGGGCCCGCACAAGCGGUGGAGUAUGUGGUUUAAUUCGAUGCAACGCGAAGAACCUUACCAGGGUUUGACAUCCUGCGAACCUCUUAGAAAUUUGAGGGUGCCUUCGGGAAUGCAGUGACAGGUGGUGCAUGGCUGUCGUCAGCUCGUGUCGUGAGAUGUUGGGUUAAGUCCCGCAACGAGCGCAACCCACGUUUUUAGUUGCCAGCAUUUAGUUGGGCACUCUAGAAAGACCGCCGGUGAUAAACCGGAGGAAGGUGUGGAUGACGUCAAGUCAUCAUGCCCCUUACACCCUGGGCUACACACGUACUACAAUGCUACGGACAAAGGGCAGCAAACUCGCGAGAGCUAGCAAAUCCCAUAAACCGUGGCUCAGUUCAGAUCGUAGGCUGCAACUCGCCUACGUGAAGUAGGAAUCGCUAGUAAUCGCAGGUCAGCAUACUGCGGUGAAUACGUUCCCGGGCCUUGUACACACCGCCCGUCACACCAUGGAAGUUGGCCAUGCCCGAAGUCGUUACUCCAACCCUUGUGGAGGAGGACGCCGAAGGUGGGGCUAAUGACUGGGGUGAAGUCGUAACAAGGUAGCCGUACCGGAAGGUGCGGCUG
rnacentral:rRNA from 1 species